rnacentral:rRNA from 1 species
GGAAUAUUGGACAAUGGGCGCAAGCCUGAUCCAGCAAUGCCGCGUGAGUGAUGAAGGCCUUAGGGUUGUAAAGCUCUUUCGCACGCGACGAUGAUGACGGUAGCGUGAGAAGAAGCCCCGGCUAACUUCGUGCCAGCAGCCGCGGUAAUACGAAGGGGGCUAGCGUUGUUCGGAAUUACUGGGCGUAAAGGGCGCGUAGGCGGCGCUUCAAGUCAGGCGUGAAAUCCCCGGGCUUAACCUGGGAAUUGCGUUUGAGACUGGAGUGCUAGAGUUCGGGAGGGGUGAGUGGAAUUCCCAGUGUAGAGGUGAAAUUCGUAGAUAUUGGGAAGAACACCAGUGGCGAAGGCGGCUCACUGGACCGACACUGACGCUGAGGCGCGAAAGCGUGGGGAGCAAAC